UGGGGAAUCUUCCGCAAUGGACGAAAGUCUGACGGAGCAACGCCGCGUGAGUGAAGAAGGCCUUCGGGUCGUAAAGCUCUGUUAUCGAGGAAGAACACUUCGUAUGUAAAUAAUGUACGGAGUUGACGGUACUCGAGGAGGAAGCCACGGCUAACUACGUGCCAGCAGCCGCGGUAAUACGUAGGUGGCGAGCGUUGUCCGGAAUUAUUGGGCGUAAAGCGCGCGUAGGCGGGAUAUUAAGUCUGCUCUAAAAGUGCGGGGCUUAACUCCGUAAUGGGGUGGAAACUAAUAUUCUUGAGUGCCGGAGAGGAAAGCGGAAUUCCCAGUGUAGCGGUGAAAUGCGUAGAUAUUGGGAGGAACACCAGUGGCGAAGGCGGCUUUCUGGACGGUGUCUGACGCUGAGGCGCGAAAGCCAGGGGAGCGAACGGG
rnacentral:rRNA from 1 species